UCAUCCCUCUCACUUCAUCUCCCCGAUUGUCGUCUCUAGAUCCAAAUCCAAAGAUGGUGUCUGCAACUUGCUAGGCGAGCCACAUGCCCAUGAGUCCUGAGAUCGAACAGGUCCAUGUUGAGAUCCAAUACAUCUUAAUUCGCGAGGGGGAGUGACAUCAACUUCUUCACUUCAUCUUCCGCGUCCAAUUCUCUUUCUCUUCAUCUUCUCCACUACUAUUUUGUAAAAGAAACUGAACAAUUUUACUUCUCCUCCUUACCUUCUCCAUUGAACAGAAAGAUGAGCAACUUAUGGAGUUGGCACCACAACUAGGCGUUCGGGCUUCUGCUCCCGUGGAUCCAUCUUGCUGCCUCCAGGCCUGGAAGAUCAUCCUUGCAGGUCGAAUUUUCUGCUCAUAGAUCAUCGCUGCUGUGUUGAUGAGCCGCCCUGUAUGUCGCAGUAGAGGCCUGAGCGCGUGUAGUCCGUAGUCGUCCGCCUCUUCUUCUACUCACAACCCUCCACUGCCGCCUCUACCGAAACAUCUUCCGCGUAAACGCCAAGCAAGGGCACACAGUUUGAUUGAUUGGACUACACCUGUGCCAAGAUACGUGGAUUCACAAGAGAUGUGGCUGUACAAUUGUUCAGCGGUAACAAUGGUGGAUUUUGGCCCUAAUCAAAAGGAAAUUAAAAACCAUGGCCUAUAUGAUGUGAUUAAGAUUUAAGCCCCUAUGGUUAUCUGGAUUUUUUUUAGUUUGAACGACUAAUAAAU